CAUAAUAUAUUUUAAAAAUAAAAAAAAAAUUUAGAGCAAGGAAUUUUUAUGACGGUAAAACCCUAAUUUUACCACUAUAUUCUAGAAGUAACUUAGUUGUUUUUUAGGUUGUCUCCUAAGCUAAAUAUUUAUUUAUAAUCCACAACUGAGCUUUCUAAAAUUAUCAAGAAAAAUUAUUGAUAUAGUUAUUCCAUUUCUAUACUUAUUAAUUAUAUACGUGUCUAUUCAUACACAUUGUCCACUUGCACUGAAUAUGUGUUCUGAGAAAUGUAUUUUUAGUGAGAUACGCGCCACCGUCGACAACUUUUUAAAGGGGAUAAGUGCUAUUAUAAUGAACAUAAUGCAAUGAGGACAACGAAACUCACUAAAUAUAGUCGACAGUCUUACAAGUGGCCUACUGCGAUUACGGCAAAAGUGCUCUGAAUUAGACUAAUUUGUGGAUAAAUAGUGUUCUGUGUAUCUAUUAGCAAUCGCUUCGUUCUAUGCUAAAGGAAGUUAGAAACAGAAGGCGUGUGCAUUUACCAUCUUAUAGAAAAUGUGAAUAAGCUAAUAUAUUUCUCGGAAAAGCAGUGCUACCCUGGCAAAGUGCUCCGAAGCCUCCUACAUGAAUAGCCGUUACAAAACUACAUAAUCGAAUUUUGUAUGGAUUGUUGCAUUGAACCUGCGCCCUCAAUGGUCCGCCUGCUUUUCUGAGUCAAAUGGUUUGAUGCUAUCAAAAGCUUCCUCGCAGCUUGCCUUGCCUAACAUGGUGAUACUAUUUGUGUUAUCUACUUGUGUUUUGUUUCUUUCGCUUCCUUUUUCUUCCUAUCUGUUUUUCAUGGUGGUCGGGCUGGGGUGGCCUUGUGCCUCUUUUUUGUAGUAGAGCCCCUCGGUCGUCCCCUUUUCGGUCUAACGCAGAAGAUUAACACGUGCAGAGUGCCCGCACGAUCCUCGUCCGAGUGACAACACCUGUGUGUCUGUAUACGGCCGACUAGUCAUCACUUGUGAAAUCCGAAGAUCAUCGUCAACAUUUAUAAUGCUUGAGAUAAUGAAAAUACAUCAAAAAAUUAUUACCUCCAAUAAUGGAGCUGUUACCGGCGAUGAAUCUGGCGCUUGUCCGGUCCCAGCGCCAGUUCCAUUCCGUUGGCCGCCGCCCUCAAACGCCU
rnacentral:lncRNA from 1 species